GACGAACGCUGGCGGCGUGCUUAACACAUGCAAGUCAAGGGGGCCCGCAACGGGCGAACCGGCGAACGGGUGCGUAACACGUGAGCAACCUACCGAUUUGUGGGGGAUAGCUGGCCUAACGGCCAGGUAAUACCGCAUAUGAUCAUCGGCCCGCAUGGGCGGAUGCUCAAAGUCUUCGGACGCAGAUCGAGGGGCUCGCGGCCUAUCAGCUAGUUGGCGAGGCACGGCUCACCAAGGCGACGACGGGUAGCUGGUCUGAGAGGAUGGCCAGCCACAUUGGGACUGAGAAACGGCCCAGACUCCUACGGGAGGCAGCAGUGGGGAAUCUUGCGCAAUGGCCUAACGGCUGACGCAGCGACGCCGCGUGUGGGAUGAAGCUCUUCGGAGUGUAAACCACUGUUGCCCGGGACGAUAGCUCGAUUAAUCGAGCCUGACGGUACCGGGUGAGGAAGCACCGGCUAACUCCGU
rnacentral:rRNA from 1 species